rnacentral:lncRNA from 1 species
GGGAAAAAGAAAAAAAAAAAGGAAACAAUAGUCAGGUUGUUAGGGGCACAGAGAGAGAGGGAUACGGGGUUGUUUGUUAAAAUGAAAGUUCCAUUUAUAUUGUAUGAAGGCCUAAAGACCAGUUUCUGUAGGGAAUAACUUAUUUCUAGAGCAUGCUUCCUGUGUCCACAGAGAACUCAAGAGUCCCUCACCGUCUGGACUGGGUAUGGAUAGGGUUAUGAAGAUGAUCCAAUGGGGUGGGCUUCUAGAGAGAGGUUAGAGGUGUCUGGUGUUGCUGCUCUGAUGGGCUGUUGAGAGGGCCAGAAUGAUGAGAAGCUAACCACUUACGGAUCUAGAGAAGAAGGAGCCACAGGAGCAAAGACCCUGAGAGAGGAAAGAACCCAGGCUGGAUGAGGGACAGACGGAGGGCCAGUGAGCCUGGAGAGCAGUGAGCAAGUCAGUAAACCAGAAGGAAGUGAGCUCCAAGAGGCACCAUGAGCUGAACAUGGAGAUCUUUGGGAGCCAAGCUUUGGUUUGCGGCCCACCCCUCUUCACCUGGUCCACUUCUGCAUUCUUCGAUGCAGUGUGACCAAGAACCCUGGGCACCGAAGGAGAA